CCAAAUUUUAGAGUUUCUAGAUGCCAGUUAUAGCUUUAAAUAAAGUCCUGUACUGAUGAUUGCUCAUUGAUGUAAUUCUUAAAGACUAAAUAUUACGAAAUGCGAAAAACCUGCCUAACUAUCCAACCUUACACAACUGCGUGAGAAUGUGUGCGCAGAUUCAAAGGUCAACAUUUAAUCAGUACUUAUCAGACUAACAAACAUUCUUGCAUGCCGGUAAAUAUUUAAACAAUCAAUAACAAUAUGUUUCUACAGCUAUAAUUUAGGUGGACAGGAUACAAUCAGCAAGUUCUAAGACAUUGUAAUGCUAAAUCAGGUACUUCAUCAGAAAAGUGAAAUAUUCAAACUAAACACCUCAAUAUAUUAUGAGAUGAGAACAAUCAGAAGAAAGCAUAAACUGGAUGGCUAAGUGAUAUGGAAAACUGUUAAUGUUCGGAAAUCGGAAAUGAGAAAUAUUAUUUCCUUUUUAAUUAGAAAAAGUGUUGUCUUGAAAUGAAAGUUAGUCAUUACAAAAGUUCCC
rnacentral:lncRNA from 1 species